AGGGUAACUUCCUGAUGUUGCCAUGGCAUUUGUAAACUGUAUGGCACUGGCGGGAGUGUCUUUAGCAUGUUAGCGCAUUAUAUAAUUAGUGUAUAAUGAGCAGUGAGACGACUGGAGGUCACUUUCAUCGCCAUCUUGGUUUUGGUGGGUUUUGGACAGCUUCUUUACGCAUGCUGUUUUAUCAGCAAGGUCUUUGUGACCUGUAUCUUGUGCCGACCUCCUAUCUCAUCCUGUGACUAGGAAUGCCUUAACCUCCUGGAAUGCAGCUCACAUGCCAGAAACUAUACAAUCCACCCCCUCUGAAGGAGUUUGUUCAUUUAAAAAAAAAAAAAGGCCAGCCCUCCAUGAAUGAGGAACUUCCUGGGGCCACUAGUGCAUGCUGCAGCUCACACAGUCAACUCCAUCCACACCUCCACAAACAGCUGCCCUUUGGCCACUACUCAGGCGUAAGGACACACCCAGCAGGGUAUGCCCUCUGGAGGUCAGACCAGGGAAGAAGCCCUUGCACAGUCAGGAGCCAGCUCAGCACCUGUGAUGCUGAAUUCUAUGUGGCAACUUGACUGGACGCAGGUGCUCGGAUUAAACCUGAUUUCUGGGUAUGUCUGUGAGGGUAUUUCCAGAGGAGAUUAGAAUUUGAAUCCGUGGAUUGGCAAAGUUGGUGUCUGCCCCAGUGUGGGUGGUCACCAUCUACUCUCCUGAGGGCCUGAAGAGAACAAAAGGCAAAGGAAGGAGGAAUUCGCCCUUAACUUGCUUGCCGCCUGCCUGCUUGAGCAGAGACAUUUCAUCACAUCUUCUCUGGCCCUCGACUGAGAUUCACACCAUUGGCUUCCCUGGUUCUCAGGCAUUUUGACUUGGACUGAACUACACCAUUGGCUUUCCUGGGCUCCAGCUUGCACAUAGCAGAUUGUGGGAUUUCUCAGCCUCUAUUAUUACAGGCGCCAGUUCUUCAAAAUCAACCUCUCUCUCUCUGUCUCUCUCUCUCUCCCUAGAUCACAGUCUGGAAGUCUGCUCACAGUCUCAAGGUUGGCAUAUCCCCUAGAGCCCCCAGACUCCUCAUCCCAUGGAGACCAACAUGGCCAGGGGAGGGCCAGAGCAGGGCCUUCUAAAUCACAGACCCCAGGGCAGGAGCCCCUCCGGUCUGGAUCUAAGGAUGGUAUUUUCAACAAUUCCUAAAUUUUUAUCCUAGGCUCUCCAAAUGGGAGUCUAAAGGUCUCAAAACAUGGUCCAGAAGAAGUAUGCAAAAAUGUAAAUUCCUAGGCCCCAACCCAGACCUAUGAAUCAGAUGAUCUGUAUGGGGGUUCAAGGAAUCUAUAUUAUUAAACAAUCUUCCUAAAUGACUUGUAUUCAUACUAAAGCUUGAGAAUUGCUAUCAAACAGCUAGAAGUUGGAGUGAAGGGUCCUGCCUUUCCCAUGAAAUUCAUCAACUCUAUGCCCUCAAAAGCUGGGCUCUUGGAUGAGCUGCUCUCCAUUCUAGAGACAUUACCAGCUAGGUAGCCUGCUGGUCCUCAGGAAGUUAAGCCCAGACUCUUCAGCACAGAAUCAGAUAAACACUGAUUACAUUGUACUCUACAGUUCUGAGAACACCAUUACUUAAUUCCCGGCAAGUUGCAAUGUAAUUGAGUAGGUUGUAGUUUUUUGGGUUUGGGGUUUUUUUGUUUUUUAAAUAUAUCAGGCGUAGUUAGCCAGCUUCCUAGAAACACCAUGAUCUCUUGGUGAAAAUUCCAGAAAUAUGCAUCACUUCCUAAUUAAAGUAGGGAAUUUUUAAAAAUUAUUAAACCACAUGCUUUCUAAUUCCUAUUGCCCUUUCUUUUCACCCACCAUUCAGCAGUCAGCAGACACUUUCUGGGUACAACAGGGUAGGACCAUCCAGGCAGAACAAAAGCCAUUGAUCAUGAACUACAGAGGAGAGUUUGGUAAAUGGACACCAGAAACCAUGGCCUACAGGGGCCUGGUUUUCUCCCAUCUAAAUACUAACUAGGCCCAACGCUAGUUGGGCUUAGCUUCCUAGAUCAGAUGAAAUUGGGCACAUUUAGGGUUGGGGGUAUGGCUCUCUAUUGUAAGUAGCAAGAGUUUGAGAGAAGAAAAAAGGGAUUUUCUUUUUUUUUUCUUUUAAAUUUUAGAGCAUUAACUUUAAACAUCAAGAUCCAAACCCCAAGGAUUCAGAGAAUCUUGUACUAUAAACCAUUUGUAUUAGUCAGGGUUCUCCAGAGAAACAGAACCCAUAGGAGGUAUAGAGAUAGAGAAAUAUGGAAUUGGCUCCCAUGAUUAUGGAGGCUGAGAAGUCCCUCAAUCUGCUGUCUGUGAGCUGGAGACCUAGGAAAGCUUAGCUGGUGGUACAAACCAGCCCAAGUGCAAAGGCCCAAGAACUAAGAGCACCAUUGUCAGAGAGCAGGAAAAGACAGAUGUCCCAGCUCAAAAAGAGAGAGCAAAUUCACCUUCCUUCCACCAUUUUAUUCCGUCCUGUUCCAUUCCUCAACAGGUUGGAUGAUGAGGGAGAUCUUUAUCCAUCUCAAGUUUUUUGUGCAAAUAUGGAAUACAAAUGAAAAAUACUUAAAGCACAUCAUCAUUGAUUUCCAACUUAGACUAGUUUAACUUCCCUUUUUCUUCUAUCCUGUCAGUUCCUUGAGGGAUCCUCUCUCCUUGUUCAUCUCUGCAUCUCUAGUAAUUAGCACAGUGCCAGGCACAUGGUAAUAUGGCUAAAACAGUGGAUUAUUGGUCUCCAACAUAAUUAAGCCCAUCCAAAAGAAAAACCAACCUCAUAAAUCUGCUUUGCAAAGUUCAUAAACAAUGGAUAUGCUAUGUCUCAAAGGUGCUGGCCAAAAAAAUUUAAGAACUUGGGAAUUAUGUGUUAUUUUGUUUGUUUUUUUCACCAAGCCUACUUUUCUGUCACAAGAGCCCAUAUCAACAACACACCCAUGUAUGUCCUUCUUUUUAUCUACUUUUCUCCAUGAAGUUUGUCACCAUCAACUGUUAAAACUGUAAAGAUUUGAUCAGCUAAAUAAGUGGUCUUUGAACUAAUUCCUCUCGUACUUCCUAAAGGAACUUUGAAAAACUAUGUAUCCCCUUGCACAUUUUCAAGCAGACACCUAAGAUUUUUCAUCAUAAAUUUGAAUAACUUCAAAAUAUGUACUUAUUAGCAUAUUGUAAAUAUUGAUUUUUAAAUAAAAUAUAUCACACUUUGUAUCCAAUGAACUCUAAACACCAUAGCAAUUUGACACUUACUCUCCCACCCUCAGUCUUAAAAAUUCACCAACAACCUCUUUUUUAACAACCGAAAAAUUUGUAUUAUUCCUUUUUAAAAUUUUGAAGUUUUCUGGAUUGAAUUAUUUUUAUAAUGAUUUUUAGUAUACAACUGACCAAAGCAACAUAAAUAUAUAGCAUAUUUUGAUAAAUAAUUAUAAAACAUAGCAAGUUAUGUGUUAUUGGAAAAUUAAACUAAAUGAAUGGAUCUUUUUAAAUUAGUUCGGGUAUCUGUGGCUGUUCCUAACUGUUAAAAUGAGACAGAGUCAGCGUCAAUUCUACUCUUAUUUUUUAUUUUUUUAGACGUAAGCCCUGAGAAAACUUGUUCAAUUAAAUAAGUAAUGAGAAUGUUAGGCAUUUUCUGAUAAAAAUGUCACUCUGUUAUUUGAAUGCCUUCUUGAUUAUAAGUCAAAAAGUACAUAGUGAUCUAUUAUCAAAAACUAUUGGCCUAUCUGUUGACAACUUGGGUAGGUCCUCCUUUAAUUUUAUUGAAAGCAAAGAAUUGGAAACUACCUAAUUUACAAAAAAAAGAAGAAGAAGAAGAAGAAGAAGAAAUGUGUUACCUAAUUAUUAGAGCUCACUUUCUAAGUUUCUAGGAAGUAUGACCCAAAAAAGCUUGGCCAAGACUUAUCACAUGGCUGUUGAUUAUACCAUCACCCUUUUACUUACAGGCGUCUUGCUUAUGGACCUAAAAAAGAUGAAACUGGAGUUAGAAACAAAAACAGAAAAUUGUAAAUUGUGCAUUUGGGGACUUUUCUCCUUGACUGUGAACAGAGACCUAUAUACAAUGCCAAAUUUCAUUUUUUAAGAAUGUCUCAAAAUGCAGAGUAAAGAAAUGACAGAAGGACAGACACUUGGGGAUAUUCAUGUAUAUACUAAUAACUUCUUCCCAAAUAUGACUGAAGACAAUACACUUAGCAGAACUGAAAUCAAUAUAUUAACAUCUGAAAGGGAGAAAUUAAUCCUAAUUCAAUCAAGCCAGUUUUCUAAAGUUCAGGUCAUUGCAUAUUAGAUUUACAUUUUGGAAAAAUUUUUUUUGCUUUUGAACCAAUAGAUUUCUGCUUUUGACAGUAUAGUUUAAAUACUUUAUGUAAGUUGACAGCAAGAGAAAGAACUUAGUCACCAAUAAGUAUAGUACAAGAUUAUGGAAAGCACAUUAAGGACCUCUAAGCACAUUAGUUAGAGUAUAAUCUGCAAUAUAUUCCUGUUAAAUUACUUAAUGCUAAUUCUGUGGACUGAAUUUCAUUCCCCCAAAAUUUAUAUUUUGAAGGCUUAACCCUUAAUGUGACUAUAUUUGGAAAUAGUGCCUGUGAAGAGGUGAUAAAGGUUAAAUGAGGUCACAGGCUGGGGUCCUACUUCACUAGGACUGGUGUCCUUUAAAGAAGAGGACAAGAUGCCAGAUGCUCUCGUUCAUGUGCCCCCUUUCUCUCUCUCUCUCUCUCGCUGGUUCACUCUCUCUCUCUCUCCUCCUGCCCCCCAUGUGAGGAUAUAAGGAGAAGGCAGCCAUCUGCCAGCCAGGAAGAGAGCCCACACCAGAACUUGACCAUGCUGACACCCUAAUCUUGGAUUUCUAGCCUCCAGAGUUAUGAGAAAAUAAAUUUCUGUUAUUUAAACCACCUGGUGCAUGGUAUUUUGUUAUGGCAACACAAGCUGACUUAUAUACCUAAUAACUACAUGGCAGGAAUUAAUACAUGAACGGGAAAGUUGUUCAUGAGUGACAGUGAGCAGGAGACCUGUACCUUCAUCAGAAAUGAAUAUAGAUUUCAUAUUUUGCUAACUUUUAGCAAAAAUUAAUGAAAGUGUUUCUCCUAUAAAUCUGAGUAAAUAUUUAAGAAAAUACAAAAUACUAACUUACCUCUAAUAUGUGUUUCUUUUGUUAGAAAAUGUAGCCUUGAUAUGUUGGAAGAAACUGUAGUCUUUUCACCUUGAAGUUAUGCAAAUUACACUCCUGAG
rnacentral:lncRNA from 1 species